GAUGUCUAAAGCAGGGCCUCUCUCUCCUUCCCCCAGUGCUAAUCACAGUACUUGAAUAAAUAAGCUGAGGAAACCCCAUAUGAUAUGAGAGCUCAGCCAGAAGGCACCUGCCUGCAGCCAAGAAGUGAGCCCUCAUCAGGACCGGAAUCAGCCAGCACCUUGGUCUUACACAUCCCAGUCUCCUGAAUCUCUGGGCUCCACUCAUACAGAGGUUUUAGGGCCUGAGGAGGAAUAAUCUGGGGAAUAAAGUAGCAUUUCCACCAAAUUAGAAGCUGAGAUUCCUGCCUGGUUAUUUCAGUCUUCUCAUGACAAUGUGAACACACAAAAAGCUGCAAGACAAGAACUCUGCAAGGGUUAAAGAAGAC
rnacentral:lncRNA from 1 species